rnacentral:tRNA from 1 species
UCCUCGGUAGUAUAGUGGUCAGUAUCCCCGCCUGUUAUGUGGGAGACCGGGGUUCGAUUCCCCUUUGGAGGU